UCACCAGAGUGCUCCUGCCCGUGGCUAAUGCUGGAACCAGGAGAAGGGGCUCUGAAGAAAACACAGCAUGGAAACCAGAAAGAAGAUGAUCAGAUUACCAGCCCCUGGAUUUGUGAGCCGGUCUCAAUCGGACCAGAGCAGGCUUGAUUUCAGACCCGCAGAGUCUCAGACGCCAACCUCACCCCCUUCCUCCCCGCACACCACUAUUUUUAAAGAACCCCCAACCUCUUUCCAAUCAUGAUAGUGUUGCUUUCUUUUCUUUUUCUAUUUUUUUUUUUCCUUAUCUAUCCACCGAAAAUCUUCUAAUGAAAGAGAGUACCACUUCAGGAACUUCAGGGUUGGGAAAAUCAGACGGAUUCGUGGAUUUCAAUGUCCCAGGACCCACGUUUGGCUUCAUGGAGAACCUGGACCACACAUCUCCAACCUGCCAUGUUCUUCCUCCAGGUUCUGUCACUGAGUCAUAAACUCAGGGAAGGUGCUAGAGACAUCAAGAUGGGGAAUGUCUAUUCCCUGUCCAUCUGGAUUUUACAAUAAGCAGCAAGAUAGAUUCAUCCAAAAGAGCUCAGUUUUUUAAAAGAUAUUGAGCAAAGAUGAGCAUGUACAAAAACAUGAAAAACCAUGCUCUGAGGAAAGACUCAUGCGUUCAUUGAACAAGUAAGAUAAUUGAGCUGUAGAAAGAAAUAUGGUGAAAUACCCUUGCAAAGAAAUUUUGAAAAAUGUCAUGUUGCCUUUUAUGUUAUCUUGAUGUAGAACCAAAACCACAACAAAAUUGCCAGCUUUGCAAGAAAAGUCAUUAUGGCUAGGGGAAGAAAAAAAGAACAUACAAGACAAAAGCAAUGUUGGUAAAUGACAGGAAGCAUGCCAAGUU
rnacentral:lncRNA from 1 species